UACGAACCACACAAACGUUAUUCGGAAUUACUGGGUUUAAAGGGUGCGUAGGUGGGCCUGUAAGUCAGUGGUGAAAUCUUCGAGCUUAACUCGGAAACUGCCAUUGAUACUAUAGGUCUUGAAUCAUCUGGAGGUGAGCGGAAUAUGUCAUGUAGCGGUGAAAUGCUUAGAUAUGACAUAGAACACCGAUUGCGAAGGCAGCUCACUGCGGAUGUAUUGACACUGAGGCACGAAAGCGUGGGGAUCAAACAGG
rnacentral:rRNA from 1 species